rfam:Cricetulus griseus cell line CHO-K1, whole genome shotgun sequence.
GAGCCAGUGCUAUGUGGAAGACUUGUGAUUUUGUUGUUCUAAUGUGAUAUGACAACAAGUCACAGCCGGCCUCAUAGCGUGGACUC